AUAUAUACACACACACAAGGAUAUCAUUGUUAACCGAAACUAUUGUUAAUUAAAUUAAAAACACUUAAAAAAAACUUCAACUUGUUUUAUUUCAGCUAAUUUCCAAAGUUAUUAUUUCACUGAUAUCCUAAAAUAACUAAAACCGAAAUAAAAAAUUAAUAAAACCUUUAUAUAGACAUAUUUAAAAACAACAACAACUAAUAAAAAUGAUAAAGCACGACAAAAGUACUUAAAGUAACAUGAAAGCAGAAAAUAAUAAAAUAACAUCUAAUUACAAAUACUAACAAAAACUAUAAUAGUCUUUCAGUUAUCCUAAACUAACACUGCUGAAUCCUCGUCACUUCUGUACCUUAAAAUGUUUUAAAACACAAUAUAACUUAAAAAAAAAAGGUUUUAUUCCUAACAGGAUGCCAAGGUGGCAUAAUGGAAAAGUAACAUCACGCAUGUGUCUAAAAUGAAGUCUUUAGGCAAAGUCACUGUGCACUAUUAAUACAGACUUUUAUUGAACAAAAACCACCAAGUUUUCACCCAUCUUGUCAUCAGGCAGUGACUAAAAAAAGAUGCUAAUCCAGUAGAGGAGGGACAGAGUCAUCACUGUUUAUUUAGGAGAUCUCAUGCAUGAACUUUAGGGUGGUAUAGGUACCAGACGCACCAACAGUGAUGACUGAAGAGCAAGCACACUGUUCUAAGACAAGGGAAAAAAAAGAUGCAAUGACACAACUGUGUAAGAAGCAACGUAUGGAAGCAGAACACACAUUCUUAAAAAUGAAUUGCUUUUCCUUUCUGGUGACGGCAUCUCUCUUUUUUUAGUUUUCUGUCUGGCCAUCUAAUAACUACACACUGCAAGUGCCACGAAUAAGUGUCGGAGACCCCAGAGGCUGACAUACAGAACAAGGGGAGGUUUAAUCAACAACAGAGGAGACCCCAGCCAUUUUAAUUAGCCGCACACACACACACACUCAGAGCGACUCCCCUGGGCACACUGGCGAUAGGGCCUGGAUUGUUUGGUUUCCUGUUCGACUGAGGAAACACUGGUGAUUACAGCUCCAGCCAUGGCUACCUCAAAAAACAAUCUGCACUUUUAUAUAAAUAGCCAGAGGAUGGAGUCCGUUUCUGCAGUCUUGAGCAACACUUCUAUCUCAUUCUUCGCUCUCUUUCUUUCUCUGAACUAUAAUUAGUCAAUAGUGUUGCUCUCCUGUGGUUGCCUUUGGUCAGCAACAAGAUCCUUUUUCGCAUUUUACCUCUGUAUGUGUAAACACGGAGACGGUGUGUUACUAUAGAGACCUUUCUGUGUACAUGGAGGCCGUGUAAAAGUGAGAGAAGGAGAGCGCAAAACUUACAACAGAAGAGAGACUAAAAGAGUGAGCGAACUCUUCCUGUUUGCAGACUUAGUCUUCGUUUCCUGUUCGUGACUUCUUGUGUGCGGCUAUUUUUAUAUUACUGCCAGUUUCUAUUGAGGUAGAAGAUAGCAGUUUAUGUUUCAAGGCCCAAAUGCGCACAAAUGUUAGCACAAACAACAAAUUUGGGAACAAAAAUUGUGAACAAAUUAUUAUUAAAACAUUGUUAUUAAAACAUUGUUUUUAAAAUGCUGAAAUGCCCAAUGUUCCUGUCGUUAUGUUGUAUAUUGUAAGUUACGAUGUGAUUACAAAAGGUUAAAAAAUGCUUCAAAAACAUUUCUUGCAACAUUCUACUAACUUUUUCACCCAAAAUAUGA